UACGGAGGAUGCGAGCGUUAUCCGGAUUUAUUGGGUUUAAAGGGUGCGUAGGCGGGCAUUUAAGCCGGCGGUCAAAUGUCGGGGCUCAACCCCGCUCCGCCGUUGAAACUGUGUCCCUUGAGUGCGCGAAGGGUAGGCGGAAUGCGUGGUGUAGCGGUGAAAUGCAUAGAUAUCACGCAGAACUCCGAUCGACGAAGGCAGCCUACCGGCGCGCGACUGACGCUCAUGCACGGAAAGCGUGGGUAUCGAACAGG
rnacentral:rRNA from 1 species